rnacentral:rRNA from 1 species
CCUACGGGUGGCUGCAGUAGGGAAUAUUGGACAAUGGGCGCAAGCCUGAUCCAGCCAUGCCGCGUGAGUGAAGAAGGCCCUCGGGUUGUAAAGCUCUUUUGUCCGGAAAGAAAAGCAUUCGGUUAAUACCCGAGUGUUCUUACGGUACCGGAAGAAUAAGCACCGGCUAACUUCGUGCCAGCAGCCGCGGUAAUACGAAGGGUGCAAGCGUUACUCGGAGUUAGCGGGGGUGGAGCGUGCGUAGGUAGGUGAAAGCCCUGGGCUCAACCUGGGAAUGGCAUUGGAUACUGGCGGGCUAGAGUGCGGUAGAGGGUAGUGGAAUUCCCGGUGUAGCAGUGAAAUGCGUAGAGAUCGGGAGGAACAUCCGUGGCGAAGGCGACUACCUGGACCAGCACUGACACUGAGGAACGAAAGCGUGGGGAGCAAACAGGAUUAGAUACCCCGGUAGUC